AUGCCAUUCCAGGAUUGCAUUGGAGCAAUAGAUGGUACUCAUGUCACUACCAGAGUGCCGAGGUCACAAGCUGCAGCAUACAGAGGGAGGAAGCACUACACAAGCCAGAAUGUGCAAGCUGAUGUUGACUUUGAUCUGAAGUUCACAUAUGUGUUGGCUGGCUGGGAAGGAUCAGUAUACGAUGCUAACAUUCUCAAUGACAGCACGAGUCGUCAUGAUGGCAUCAACAUCCCCGAUGGCAAGUUCUACCUUGGAGAUGAUGACUAUGCAUGUUGGCCAGGUGUUCUUCCACCCUUCAAGAAAACUAGAUACCAUCUGAACGAGUUUGCCGGUAGGAACUAUCCUAAGACUCCUCAAGAACUGUUCAAUCUCAGAUACUCUAGCCUUAUAGGGACUGUUGAGAGGGCCUUUGGAGCUUCGAAGAACAGGUUUAAGAUCCUGGAUCAGAAGUCAUUCCACCCUUACCCUACCCAGCUGAAGCUUGUUCUUGCCUGUUGCAUUCACAACUGGAUCCUGCAAUGGGGAGUUGAUGAAUUUGUGCCGGGGGAGGAAGAUGUGACUCCUGAUGAGGUGGCCAACUCCGGCCAUGGUGUGGAGGCAUUAGACAACGAAGCGUGAAAGAACAAAAGGUUGAAAUGGGCUCAGGCAAUGUGCGAUAAUAGAGGUCAGACAAUGAUCUGA
rnacentral:rRNA from 1 species